rnacentral:rRNA from 1 species
UACAGAGGGUGCAAGCGUUAAUCGGAUUUACUGGGCGUAAAGCGCGCGUAGGUGGCCCCGUAAGUCCGCUGUGAAAGUCAAAGGCUCAACCUUUGAAAGCCGGUGGAUACUGUGGGACUAGAGUACGGAAGAGGCGAGUGGAAUUCCUGGUGUAGCGGUGGAAUGCGCAGAUAUCAGGAGGAACACCAAUAGCGAAGGCAGCUCGCUGGGACGUUACUGACACUGAGGCGCGAAAGCGUGGGGAGCGAACAGG